rnacentral:rRNA from 14 species
AGGGGGAUAACAGUUGGAAACGGCUGCUAAUACCGCAUAAUGUCUACGGACCAAACGGGGCUUCGGCUCCGGCGCAAAGAGAGGCCCAAGUGAGAUUAGCUAGUUGGUAAGGUAACGGCUUACCAAGGCGACGAUCUCUAGCUGUUCUGAGAGGAAGAUCAGCCACACUGGGACUGAGACACGGCCCAGACUCCUACGGGAGGCAGCAGUGGGGAAUAUU